rnacentral:lncRNA from 1 species
AUGAAUGGCUCUUAUACCACUCUCAUUCUGUACCCCAACUCACAGCACCUUCUCAUAUGUCUGGGUAGUAGUACCAACCCGUGCUCCUUUUUCUCAUCAGUCCUCCUCCUACAUCCAUAUGCCCUGGAAGAACUAGAGACAGUACCCUCAGAAGAAAUAAUGAAACCCUACCAAGAUGUACCCCCAGAGCUCACAUUUAGGAUUUCCUGAAAAGGUGGCAGAGAAAGGCACUUACAGAAAACUCACAAGCACACAUGGACAAGGAGACAAACUAAAAAAAAUCAGCAAUGCUAACUUUGUCAAUGGAUGCCAGUUUGCUGACCUGCUGAUGAGAGAAUUGACUGAAAAAUGGAAACAUGAAAACUAUUCACGGAGCCUACAAAUCACAUGUGAACAAAUGUAUCUUACGUUAAAAAGGAGCUGGGUGGCCUGCCUGCCUUACCUGAGGGAACCAAAUGUUUUAUGGCUUUACCUAGUGCCUUAAAGCAACCAAAGGAAGUCCUUCAUCAUAUGAUACACUUGUGGGUUCAUGGGUACUCCCUGUACCCCAUCUUGCUCCAGUACUAUACUUGGAAGGGGAGCUAUUUAUAUUACAUUAAAACUGGCUUAAAAGGAAAUGUUUAGAGAAAGCAACUGUUUCAGGGAAUUCUGAGUCAGGAUGAGAGACUGUUUUCAUUUUCUAUCUGAUGUCUAAGCAGAUAAAUGACUCCCCUCAACUGACAAGGAGAAUUGGAAAGCUCUUAAAGAAUUCUCUAUAUUCAAGGCCCAGAGAACCAAAAUCUGGCAAGUCAGUGAAUUCAAGACAAAUGUUUCCCUUUCUUCUCCCUGUGUAAGCCAAGGGACAAGACAAGAAAUUCAUGGGAGCAUGAUAUCUGGGAUGAUUUCAAGGUUGGUUAUCAUCACCAAUCAUCACUUAUAAGCACCGUCAUACUUAAAAAAAAUAGUUAUUUGGGUUCUUUCCUAUACCUUAGGUUCCUAUCCCAGAAGUCAUUCUUAAAAGUAUAAUUGAAUAAGAAACUUUGGAACUGUAAGAAAUGAUGAGUAGAUUAAUUUAAAAAAAAACAACUUUGAAUUAAUUAAAUACAAAUUUCCAAAACUUAAAA